UACCAGCACCCCGAGUGGUCGGGACGAUUAUUGGGCCUAAAGCAUCCGUAGCCGGUCCUACAAGUCUUCCGUUAAAUCCACCUGCUCAACGAGAUGGGCUGCGGAAGAUACUAUAGGGCUAGGAGGCGGGAGAGGCAAGCGGUACUCAGUGGGUAGGGGUAAAAUCCUCUGAUCCAUUGAAGACCACCAGUGGCGAAGGCGGCUUGCCAGAACGCGCUCGACGGUGAGGGAUGAAAGCUGGGGGAGCAAACCGG
rnacentral:rRNA from 1 species